UACGUAGGGUGCGAGCGUUGUCCGGAAUUAUUGGGCGUAAAGAGCGAGCAGGCGGUUUGGAAAGUUGGACGUGAAAUUUUAGGGCUUAACCCUAAAGGGUCGUCCAAAACUCCCAGACUAGGGUGCAGGAGAGGAAAGCGGAAUUCCCGGUGUAGUGGUGAAAUGCGUAGAUAUCGGGAGGAACACCAGAGGCGAAGGCGGCUUUCUGGCCUGUAACUGACGCUGAGGCGCGAAGGCUGGGGUAGCGAACAGG
rnacentral:rRNA from 1 species